rfam:Magnaporthe poae ATCC 64411 unplaced genomic scaffold supercont1.10, whole genome shotgun sequence.
CGUCUCCCCCGACCUGACACAACAUCCUGCCGAGGUGUUGUGCUCCGACCUGCAGUGUCGGUCGGCGGAGGCG